rnacentral:rRNA from 1 species
AGUUAAGUGACUAAGCGUACACGGUGGAUGCCUUGGCAAUCAGAGGCGAAGAAGGACGUGCUAAUCUGCGAAAAGCGUGGGGGAGCUGAUAAGGAGCGCUAAUCCCACGAUGUCCGAAUGGGGAAACCCGAUAGAUGAAGAAUCUAUCAUUGUUGUCUGAAUUCAUAGGGCAACAAGGCAAACCGGGAGAACUGAAACAUCUAAGUACCCCGAGGAAAAGAAAUCAACCGAGAUUCUGCGAGUAGCGGCGAGCGAAAGCGGAGGAGCCAGCGAGUGAUAGCAUAAGUUUUAGGAGAAUUGUCUGGGAAGGCAAGCGAGAGAGGGUGACAGCCCCGUAUCCGAAAAGACGGAUGUGGUACUAAGCACGCGAGAAGUAGGGCGGGACACGAGGAAUCCUGUUUGAAGAAGGGGGGACCAUCCUCCAAGGCUAAAUACUCCUGAUUGACCGAUAGUGGACCAGUACCGUGAGGGAAAGGCGAAAAGAACCCCGGGAGGGGAGUGAAAGAGAACCUGAAACCGUGUACGUACAAGCAGUGGGAGCCCGAAAGGGUGACUGCGUACCUUUUGUAUAAUGGGUCAGCGACUUAUAUUUUGUAGCGAGGUUAACCGGAUAGGGGAGCCGAA